UGCAGUCGAGCGAAGGGAGUACUACGGUACGAACUUAGCGGCGGACGGGUGAGUAACGCGUGGACAAUCUACCCUGUAGACUGGGAUAACACCUCGAAAGGGGUGCUAAUACCGGAUAAUGUCGAGAAGCGGCAUCGCUUUUCGAAGAAAGGAGGGAAUCCGCUAUAGGAGGAGUCCGCGUCCCAUUAGCUAGUUGGUGAGGGUAACGGCCCACCAAGGCGACGAUGGGUAGCCGGCCUGAGAGGGUGAACGGCCACACUGGAACUGAGACACGGUCCAGACUCCUACGGGAGGCAGCAGUGGGGAAUAUUGUGCAAUGGGGGAAACCCUGACACAGCGACGCCGCGUGAGUGAAGAAGGCCUUCGGGUCGUAAAGCUCAAUAGUAUGGGAAGAAAGAAAUGACGGUACCAUACGAAAGCCCCGGCUAACUACGUGCCAGCAGCCGCGGUAAUACGUAGGGGGCGAGCGUUGUCCGGAAUUACUGGGCGUAAAGAGCACGUAGGCGGCUAUAAAAGUCAGAUGUGAAAAACCUGGGCUCAACCGAGGGUAUGCAUCUGAAACUAAAUAGCUUGAGUCA
rnacentral:rRNA from 1 species